rnacentral:tRNA from 1 species
UGGCUGAUAGUUUAUUAAAACAAUGAGUUGCAAUCUUAUCGAUGGACAAGGAUUCCUCAGCUUU